rnacentral:rRNA from 1 species
AACGAACGCUGGCGGCAUGCCUAACACAUGCAAGUCGAACGAGAUCUUCGGGUCUAGUGGCGCACGGGUGCGUAACGCGUGGGAAUCUGCCCUUUGGUUCGGAAUAACAGUUGGAAACGACUGCUAAUACCGGAUGAUGACGAAAGUCCAAAGAUUUAUCGCCAGAGGAUGAGCCCGCGUAGGAUUAGCUAGUUGGUGUGGUAAAGGCGCACCAAGGCGACGAUCCUUAGCUGGUCUGAGAGGAUGAUCAGCCACACUGGGACUGAGACACGGCCCAGCCUCCCACGGGAGGCAGCAGUGGGGAAUAUUGGACAAUGGGCGAAAGCCUGAUCCAGCAAUGCCGCGUGAGUGAUGAAGGCCUUAGGGUUGUAAAGCUCUUUUACCCGGGAUGAUAAUGACAGUACCGGGAGAAUCAGCUCCGGCUAACUCCGUGCCAGCCGCCGCGGUAA